GAAUUUAAUUUUUUGAGGGGCUAUGAAUCUUCCAACCGAGAGGUAAAACCCAAAACCUGGGCGCUUCCUUUCUAUCUUCCUUCCUCAAUCUUCAAUAAACACCGAAACCCUAGACCUUGUUGAACAUGAGACACCCAUGGCGCCUGCUUCUUCUCCGCAGCGGCUACGCUCGAUCUUCAAUUCACAUUUCCACUCACUUCUCGCAUUUUCAGGUAAAAUCCCACCCCAAUCUUCAGAUACUUCGUUCCUUCACUUCAUCCUUUCUCACACAUGCGCCUCACGUGCUUUCGCAUCCCUUUGAACUCUUUACGAACUCUUCGAGAAUUGGCACUUGCAGUUUUUCUUCUGAAGUCUCCCUCGAACCAAAGGACAUAGAUCAUGUUGCUGUCACUGAUCUUUUUACUAAACCAAACUCCGACGAAGAGAUUAGGACCCAUUUGGAGUCUAAUAAUGUUGUGAUUAGCCACGAUUGGGUGUUAAAGAUAUUGAGAAAUCUCGAUCAUAGCCCUGAUGUGGCUUCCAGGGUUUUUGAUUGGGUGUUGAAGAACGAGGGUGAGAGAUUGAGCUCGAAAUCAUAUAAUUUGAUGUUGGGUAUUUUGGGUAUUAAUGGGUUUAUGAAGGAGUUUUGGGAUUUGGUUAAGACAAUGAAGACCAAAGGUUAUGGGGUAUCUAAGGAUGUGUAUGUUAGGGUUUUGGAAAAAUUUGAGAAGGAUGGAUUGGUGAGUGAUGUUGAGAACUUGAGAGGGCUGUAUGCAUCGAAGACCACGGUUGAGAAUAUCUGUUCUCGGAUAUGUAAAAUAAUUAGACUGGAAGUGUGGAGUGAUGAUGUAGAGUGUAGAUUAAGGUCUAUGGAAAAUGUUACUUUUUCAAGCGAUUUGGUUAAAAUGGUAUUGGAGCAUCUUGCCACGGAGCCUUCAAAAGCUUUGAUAUUUUUUCGAUGGAUUGAGGAGAGUAGUUUGUUCAAACAUGAUGAACAGACAUAUAAUGCUCUGGCAAGGGUUUUGGGGAGAGAGGAUUGUAUUGAUCGGUUUUGGAAGCUUGUUGAUGAAAUGAGGAGCUUAGGGUAUGAGAUGGAGGCAGUUACUUAUGUUAAGAUUUUGGAGCGAUUUAUUAAGCGAAAAAUGAUCAAGGAAGCUGUGGAUUUGUAUGAGUUUGUUAUGGGUGGUGCCCAUAAUCCUUCUGUUCAGGAUUGUACUUUUCUUCUGAGGAAAAUAGUGGUUGGUAAGGACCUGGAUAUGGAUUUGUUUUUGAGAGUUGUGAAGGUUUUUGUGGAGGCUGGGAAUGUGUUAACAAACUCUACCUUUGAUGCAGUCCUCAAAUCUUUAUUGAGUGUUGGUAGGCUUGGGGAUUGUAAUAAGAUCUUGAAGGCAAUGGAAGAAGGUGGGCUUGUAGCAGGUAGCGCCAUGCAGAGUAAGAUUGCCUUUGGGCUUAGUAGUACAGGAAGGAAGGAUGAAGCUACUGACUUUGUGGAUACUGUAGAAGCAUCUGGAUGUAAUUUAGAUGACAAAACAUGGGUGUCUUUGAUAGAAGGCCAUUGUGUUGCUGGGGAUAUUGAAAGAGCAUUUCAUUGUUUCCAAAAGAUGCUUGAAAGAGGGAAGACUUUGCGUGCUGCUUGUGCUUUUGAGUUGUUGGUAAAUGCAUAUUGCCAUAAGAAGAGAGCUUUAGAUGCUUGUAAGCUACUUUGUGAGCAGGUCAGUGAAAAACAAUUAAAACCUUGGCAUACGACGUACAAAGUAUUGAUAAAUAAUUUGUUGGUACAAGGGUGCUUUAAGGAUGCUUUGAGCCUUCUUGGUUUGAUGAAAAGUCAUGGGUUUCCACCUUAUGUGGAUCCAUUCAUCGAGUAUGUUUCAAAGUCUGGAACUGCUGAUGAUGCUAUUAUUUUUCUGAAAGCAAUGACUGUGCAGAGAUUUCCAUCCACAUCUGUGUUUCUUCGGGUCUUCGAAGCAUUUUUCAAGGCCAGAAGGCAUAAUGAAGCACAAGAUUUCCUUUCGAAGUGCCCUGGUUAUAUUCGUAACCAUGCUGAUGUUCUGAAUCUGUUUUGUUCCUCAAAGACUGGACAAGUUGCUCCUGCAACUAAUGCAGCUGCUUAAGCUGCUUUGCUGAUCCAUCCUUAAAGCUUUGUUCCAUAUCUACAAGGUCCUUGUUCACUUUGAUGAUUGAUUUCCAAGCUUAUGACCUCAUGUGUUCAUUGUGGUUGUCAACCAUGUGGCAUUCUUCUGUAUGAUGUUGCUCUGACUGACUGACAGUUGAACCCAGGGCUGUUGAAUCGAUGUCUGUCCUUGAUAAAACUACCAGCUUGGCUCUGAAAAACCCUAGAAACAAAUAUGUUGCGAUGCAUGUAUACUGCGCAAGACGAAAACCUGUACAGAAUGAUUUUGGUUGUGUUGGAAACAGAUCGCAGGAAUAAUGGUUUUGGGUUA